UCAGCUUUUAAUCAAAUCCUGAGAGGUUUGGAAGGUUGUUUUUGGCUACGUAUAUCUUUGGAUACCUAUAUAUUCCAGGAUACGUAUAGCUCUCUGCAACCAUUUUGCAGAGAGCUUUUUUUA
rfam:Oceanobacillus iheyensis HTE831 DNA, complete genome.